AGUAACGCGUGGGUAACCUGCCUCAUACAGGGGGAUAACAGUUAGAAAUGACUGCUAAUACCGCAUAAGCGCACAGUGCUGCAUGGCACAGCGUGAAAAACUCCGGUGGUAUGAGAUGGACCCGCGUCUGAUUAGCUAGUUGGUGGGGUAACGGCCUACCAAGGCGACGAUCAGUAGCCGGCCUGAGAGGGUGAACGGCCACAUUGGGACUGAGACACGGCCCAA
rnacentral:rRNA from 1 species